GCCUAAAUAGCUCAGUUGGGAGAGCGUUAGACUAUAAGUCGAAAAGUCCCUGGUUCGAUCGCGGGUUUCGAGUG
rnacentral:tRNA from 1 species